rnacentral:rRNA from 1 species
UACGGGGGGGGCAAGCGUUGUUCGGAAUUACUGGGCGUAAAGGGCUCGUAGGCGGCCAACUAAGUCAGACGUGAAAUCCCCAGGCUCAACCUGGGAACUGCGUCUGAUACUGGAUGGCUUGAAUCCGGGAGAGGGAUGCAGAAUUCCAGGUGUAGCGGUGAAAUGCGUAGAGAUCCGGAAGAACACCGGUGGCGAAGGCGGUCUGCUGGGGUAAUGCUGACACUGAUGCGCGACAGCGUGGGGAGCAAACAGG